AACUAGCAUAUCAAUAAGCGGAGGAAAAGAAACCAACAGGGAUUGCCCUAGUAACGGCGAGUGAAGCGGCAACAGCUCAAAUUUGAAAUCUGGCCCUCUCGGGGUCCGAGUUGUAAUUUGCAGAGGGUGCUUUGGCGUUGGCUGUGGUCUAAGUUCCUUGGAACAGGACGUCACAGAGGGUGAGAAUCCCGUACGUGGCCGCCAGCCUCCGCCGUGUAAAGCCCCUUCGACGAGUCGAGUUGUUUGGGAAUGCAGCUCUAAAUGGGAGGUAAAUUUCUUCUAAAGCUAAAUAUUGGCCAGAGACCGAUAGCGCACAAGUAGAGUGAUCGAAAGAUGAAAAGCACUUUGGAAAGAGAGUCAAAAAGCACGUGAAAUUGUUGAAAGGGAAGCGCUUGCAGCCAGACUUGCCCGCAGUUGCUCACCCAGGCUCCCGCCUGGUGCACUCUUCUGCGGGCAGGCCAGCAUCAGUUUGGGCGGUUGGAUAAAAGCCUGCUAAAUGUACCUCUCCUCGGGGAGGACUUAUAGGGUAGGUGGCAUACAACCAGCCCGGAUUGAGGUCCGCGCAUCUGCUAGGAUGCUGGCGUAAUGGCUGUAAGCGGCCCGUCUUGAAACACGGACCAAGGAGUCUAACAUCUAUGCGAGUGUUUGGGUGUCAAGCCCGGGCGCGUAAUGAAAGUGAACGGAGGUGGGAACCCUUUGGGUGCACCAUCGACCGAUCCUGAUGUCUUCGGAUGGAUUUGAGUAAGAGCAUAGCUGUUGGGACCCGAAAGAUGGUGAACUAUGCCUGAAUAGGGUGAAGCCAGAGGAAACUCUGGUGGAGGCUCGCAGCGGUUCUGACGUGCAAAUCGAUCGUCAAAUUUGGGCAUAGGGGCGAAAGACUAAUCGAACUAUCUAGUAGCUGGUUCCUGCCG
rnacentral:rRNA from 1 species